AGAGAUUUUUUGCCCACGUCUCAUGUUUCUGAGCAUGCUCCCUAGUGUCUUGGCCAGAGCCUUCAGUAUAGCUUUUUGCCGAGUCAGGCUGUUGGUUUUCUUAUCCCAAAUCCCUAACGGGUGGUUUUAAGUACUCCAAGCAUUUUUCAAAGACAGCUUGAAACCCAGCCAAGCCCACAGUGGGGGAGGGAGGGGUAGAGGUGGGUGUGUAACUCUUCUCUGACAGGUCUGCAGUUGGUCUGAUUGUCUCCCAGGUCAGGCGAACUCGUCUGCAAGCUGCAGCUGCCACCCCAGGGGACAACCCCCCCAUUCCCAAAAUCAAGUGAACUUUGUGAUUUUUUUAGCAGCAGUAAAUGAUCCCACUGGGGGUUAUUUGACCACCAAAACUACGCUAGCUUGGCUGAAGGGUUGAAGUACAGAGGCCCACGUCAAUAUGGAUUUACAGAUACCAACGGAUGCAGGAUCGGGACCCCUCCCCAGCUCCAGACCCCCCCCACCUGUUCUCACCUGCUGCUUGGAAAUCACCCCUUCUCCAGGUCCUGUGUUUACACGUCUGUCCAUGACACAAUAAAACAGAGGGAAGGCAAAUGUGCAAUGUAGAGAUCCAUUAUGCUUUAUUUACAUGCGUCACCAUCUCUUUUACAAACUAGAUUACAAUUUAAAAUGGAAUACACAAGGCAAUAUCUACUAACACCAAGUGGAGUAAGUACAUGGCUUGAAACAGAAACAGAUAAAACAGUUUUACAGAUACUGUAUACAUAUUUUUUCCAAUCAUGCAACUUUUUAAAAAAAAAGUUAAACAUGUGAAGCCAAAUGUACAAUCCAUUUUUUCCAACCCAUAGUAACGAAAUGUAUCUGGUCCCCCUGUGCAUCUGUUGGCAAUUCUAGAAGCGUACUAGAAACACUUACAGGACACCGAUUGCCAAGCAAUGACAUAAUUUUAGAGAAAUACAUAACCUAAAAGGUAACUUUUUUAAGCGGUGGCACAACAAUUUCUAGAGUUAAACAGUGUUUAACGAUCCCAUUAUUCUCAAGAGAAUUUUUUUUUACAAAAUCAUUAAAUCAAGCCCCAAUCUGUGACUAGAAACUGCAUAAAUAACAGCUUUUUAGACCUUUUGUUUAGACCAAGUGUUCAAAUGAUAACCACGUAAUUGUGACCAUGACUUUUAUCUGUUUUACAUGAUUUCACAAUGAAAACUUCUAGGCAUAAACAUGUUCAAAGACUCAAAGGCCAAAUUUUUAGGUUCCCAGAAUUAGCUGUUCAAGUCUGUAUUUUGACACGUAAGUAAGUGGCCCUUUGAAUUCAGUGAGAUUCAUUUAGCACCUCUGGAGUGAAGGACCUUUGCUGGGCACCUCAGCAGGUGUAGAGGAGGAUGACUUUCCCCUGGGCCUGGGGGGACCUGUCACUUCCCCUUCCUUCAAGAAGUGAUGAGGGCAGAGCAGCUCAACCUCUGUGACCACACUGGAGUCCCCAGUGUUCAGUGCCUGACACCAGGCACUUUCACUCGAAAAUUUUGGCCCCAAAAAUGAGCAACAGAAACCAAACCAAGGCCAAGUCCAACCCUCUUCGGCAAGUGCUGGGAUGUUCUCCAAAGCAGAGGCUCAAGGUGUUCCAGCCACACCAAUGGAAAUGCUCUCCUUGACACUGCUGGGAGGCAGGUUAAGCCUUUCAGCUGCUAAUGAUUUGUUACUUUUUUAAAAAAACUUCUCUGCCAUUGAUGGGCUGUCUCUAAAUCAGGUGUUAUUUCUCCAUUUUCUGAACAGAGCAGGCCAUAGUUUUCUCUCUCAUUUCUGACAGCAGGAGCCA
rnacentral:lncRNA from 1 species